GACGAACGCUGGCGGCGUGCUUAACACAUGCAAGUCGAACGGAAAGGCCCUGCUUUUGUGGGGUGCUCGAGUGGCGAACGGGUGAGUAACACGUGAGUAACCUGCCCUUGACUUUGGGAUAACUUCAGGAAACUGGGGCUAAUACCGGAUAGGAGCUCCUGCUGCAUGGUGGGGGUUGGAAAGUUUCGGCGGUUGGGGAUGGACUCGCGGCUUAUCAGCUUGUUGGUGGGGUAGUGGCUUACCAAGGCUUUGACGGGUAGCCGGCCUGAGAGGGUGACCGGCCACCAUGGGACUUAGAUACGGCCCAGACCCCUACGGGGGGCAGCAGGGGGGAAUAUUGCACAAUGGGCGGAAGCCUGAUGCAGCAACGCCGGGGUGGGGAUUACGGCCUUCGGGUUGUAAACCGCUUUCGCCUGGGACGAAGCGUGAGUGACGGUAAUGGGUAAAGAAGCACCGGCUAACUACGUG
rnacentral:rRNA from 1 species